GUGGGGAAUAUUGGGCAAUGGGGGAAACCCUGACCCAGCAACGCCGCGUGAAGGAAGAAGGUUUUCGGAUCGUAAACUUCUAUCCUUGGUGAAGAUAAUGACGGUAGCCAAGAAGGAAGCCCCGGCUAACUACGUGCCAGCAGCCGCGGUAAUACGUAGGGGGCAAGCGUUGUCCGGAAUGAUUGGGCGUAAAGGGCGCGUAAGCGGCCUGGUAAGUCUGGAGUGAAAGUCCGGCUUUUAAGGUGGGAAUUGCUUUGGAUACUGUCGGGCUUGAGUGCAGGGGAGGUAAGCGGAAUUCCCGGUGUAGCGGUGAAAUGCGUAGAGAUCGGGAGGAACACCAGUGGCGAAGGCGGCUUACUGGACUGUAACUGACGCUGAGGCGCGAAAGUGUGGGGAGCAAACAGGAUUAGAUACCCGUGUAGUCC
rnacentral:rRNA from 1 species